rnacentral:rRNA from 1 species
UGCAAGUCGAACGGCAGCACGGGAGCUUGCUCCUGGUGGCGAGUGGCGAACGGGUGAGUAAUGCGUCGGAACGUGCCGAGUAGUGGGGGAUAACUAUCCGAAAGGAUAGCUAAUACCGCAUACGCUCUGAGGAGGAAAGCAGGGGAUCUUAGGACCUUGCGCUAUUUGAGCGGCCGACGUCUGAUUAGCUAGUUGGUGAGGUAAAGGCUCACCAAGGCAUCGAUCAGUAGCGGGUCUGAGAGGAUGAUCCGCCACACUGGGACUGAGACACGGCCCAGACUCCUACGGGAGGCAGCAGUGGGGAAUUUUGGACAAUGGGCGCAAGCCUGAUCCAGCCAUGCCGCGUGUCUGAAGAAGGCCUUCGGGUUGUAAAGGACUUUUGUCAGGGAGGAAAUCCCUAGCGCUAAUAUCGCUGGGGGAUGACAGUACCUGAAGAAUAAGCACCGGCUAACUACGUGCCAGCAGCCGCGGUAAUACGUAGGGUGCAAGCGUUAAUCGGAAUUACUGGGCGUAAAGCGUGCGCAGGCGGUUGUGUAAGUCUGAUGUGAAAGCCCCGGGCUCAACCUGGGAACUGCAUUGGAGACUGCACAGCUAGAGUGCGUCAGAGGGGGGUAGAAUUCCGCGUGUAGCAGUGAAAUGCGUAGAGAUGCGGAGGAAUACCGAUGGCGAAGGCAGCCCCCUGGGAUGACACUGACGCUCAUGCACGAAAGCGUGGGGGAGCAAACAGGAUUAGAUACCCUGGUAGUCCACGCCCUAAACGAUGUCAACUAGCUGUUGGGGGUUUGAAUCCUUGGUAGCGUAGCUAACGCGAGAAGUUGACCGCCUGGGGAGUACGGCCGCAAGGUUAAAACUCAAAGGAAUUGACGGGGACCCGCACAAGCGGUGGAUGAUGUGGAUUAAUUCGAUGCAACGCGAAAAACCUUACCUGGUCUUGACAUGUACAGAACUUUCCAGAGAUGGAUUGGUGCCCGAAAGGGAGCUGUAACACAGGUGCUGCAUGGCUGUCGUCAGCUCGUGUCGUGAGAUGUUGGGUUAAGUCCCGCAACGAGCGCAACCCUUGCCAUUAGUUGCUACCAUUUAGUUGAGCACUCUAAUGGGACUGCCGGUGACAAACCGGAGGAAGGUGGGGAUGACGUCAAGUCCUCAUGGCCCUUAUGACCAGGGCUUCACACGUCAUACAAUGGUCGGUACAGAGGGUAGCCAAGCCGCGAGGUGGAGCCAAUCUCAUAAAACCGAUCGUAGUCCGGAUCGCACUCUGCAACUCGAGUGCGUGAAGUCGGAAUCGCUAGUAAUCGCAGAUCAGCAUGCUGCGGUGAAUACGUUCCCGGGUCUUGUACACACCGCCCGUCACACCAUGGGAGUGAGUUUCACCAGAAGUGGGUAGGCUAACCGUAU